rnacentral:rRNA from 1 species
GACGAACGCUGGCGGCGUGCUUAACACAUGCAAGUCGAGCGGUAAGGCCCUUUCGGGGGUACACGAGCGGCGAACGGGUGAGUAACACGUGGGUGACCUGCCCUCAGCUCUGGGAUAAGCCUGGGAAACCGGGUCUAAUACCGGAUAUGACUCCAUGACGCAGGUGUUGUGGGGUGGAAAGCCUUGUGCGGCUGAGGAUGGGCCCGCGGCCUAUCAGCUUGUUGGUGGGGUGAUGGCCUACCAAGGCGACGACGGGUAGCCGGCCUGAGAGGGCGACCGGCCACACUGGGACUGAGACACGGCCCAGACUCCUACGGGAGGCAGCAGUGGGGAAUCUUGCGCAAUGGGCGAAAGCCUGACGCAGCGACGCCGCGUGAGGGAUGACGGCCU